GACGAACGCUGGCGGCGUGCCUAAUACAUGCAAGUAGAACGCUGAAGGAAGGAGCUUGCUCUUUCUGGAUGAGUUGCGAACGGGUGAGUAACGCGUAGGUAACCUGCCUGGUAGCGGGGGAUAACUAUUGGAAACGAUAGCUAAUACCGCAUAAAAUUGAUUAUUGCAUGAUAGUCAAUUAAAAGGUGCAACUGCACCACUACCAGAUGGACCUGCGUUGUAUUAGCUAGUUGGUGGGGUAACGGCUCACCAAGGCGACGAUACAUAGCCGACCUGAGAGGGUGAUCGGCCACACUGGGACUGAGACACGGCCCAGACUCCUACGGGAGGCAGCAGUAGGGAAUCUUCGGCAAUGGACGGAAGUCUGACCGAGCAACGCCGCGUGAGUGAAGAAGGUUUUCGGAUCGUAAAGCCCUGUUGUAAGAGAAGAACGAGUGUGAGAGUGGAAAGUUCACACUGUGACGGUAUCUUACCAGAAAGGGACGGCUAACUACGUG
rnacentral:rRNA from 1 species